ensembl:lncRNA
CACUAAAAACACCUGGCGAGAGACUGGGCUUCAGGCUGGUGGCAUCCUCAAACCGCCUGCUCCGAGCCGCUGCUCCUCUUUGUAAAUUCAGAGGGCGUCCCCCCGGCCCCGCAGAAGUGAUGUAUUCAUGUCCUUAUUUUAUAGAAAUUUUAUAGAUUUCCUAUAAUCAACUUCUCUGGCUUUUGCUAAAGGUUACUUUGGGGCCUUUUUGAUUUUUAAACAGAACAAAGAGAUGGAUUUAGCCCUCCUUGAUUUAAAUAAAAGGUGUCAGGACUUUUGGGUCACAAAACACCAGGACGAGGAGGGCUUGUGGGCUGCAGAAGCGGCCGCCUUCUGCUUCCAGAGCGGCAGCAAUUAUCUAAAUUACCUGAAUUAUCUGAAUUAUCCUUACGUCUCCCCCGGGACGGGAUACCCAGCUAGAAAGUGGGACCACCAGAAUAGCGCUGGGGCGGGAGAGAAAACCCAGCCGGCGUAGCACAGCCGUGGGCAAGAAAUGGUUUCCUGGCCAUCCCCGUGUACAAAGCUGCAGGACGCCGUGCGCCCCCUCCCAGGGUCCGAGCCGCCCCCCGGCCUCCAGCGCCGUGCGCCGCGGCCGCAUGCAGUCGCGUGUUGGUGCCAUCACCCCCGGAUCGCUCCCCGGCCGGGAAGCCACCUCGAGACGUCCCCGAAGACCCCAAAGAUGUGCCGGUGGCUGGAGCGAAGGGAAAAAGGGACCAAAAACCUACCGGGACCGGCCGCCCCGGUGUGCCCCGUGCCCCCCGGCCCCGCGGAUAAUAGCGGGGCUGCGGGGGCGAUUUCACGGAGAUUAACCCCGCGCCUCGCGCUGGGGCUGCCGCUGCCCUCGACACCACUCCCCGAGUGUAUCAAAGGCGGAUUACAACCAGAUCAGCCCCGUGGCCGGAUUUAUUAGCGGCAAUUUAUCACGCGGAGGCAGCCGGGGAGGGUGGAAGGCCAAGGGCAGGGGCGGAGGAGCCCGGCCUCCCUGCGGGGACCCGCGGCAUCGGCGGGGAGACCCCGGUUGAAUUUUUGGGACGGGGUCGCUGUUUCCUCCCAGUUCCCCAAGGAUUUUGGUGCAGGUUGGGAAAAAGCAGCUCAAGGCGGGGAAGAGGGGAAGCCUUCAGCCUCGCCGCACACCGGGGCUGGGGAAGGGGGACGGGCGCCCGGCACCGCUCUGGGAGGGCCGGAGGGUGCCGAAGCCCCUCGGGGCCGGGGACGUCGCACGGGGCACACCCAUGGGGCACACGGAGUGUGGCACGAGGCUCACACCGAUGCCACCAGACCCCAGCGGCCACCCCGGGCACCCCCAGCCCCUGCGGCGCGGGGACACCCGGCUGCGGGCGCGCGGCUCAGUCGGGGGAAGGAGCCUGGAAGAGGUUAAAGUGGGGCGAGCGGGGAGAGAAGCCUCGGAACGGGGCGUUUUAAUGACAUUCCAUUAAAGCUCCCUUUGGGGCCAGCGCGGCCGCCAUGUGCUCCACAUUCUCAUGGUAAUUAUGAGACAUCUGUAUAGAGGCUCUUUUCUCAUCAAAGAUGGCUCUCUUCAAAGACACUCCUGGGAAACCCUUCACCUCUGACCCGGGGGGUCAGCGCUGAAACAGUGGCUCUAUAGUGCGCGUUACUGUAAAGCCGAGUAUCCUUUUUCCUCCGCUAACCUGACCAGGUCCCGGCUUUUCAUGCGGGCCCGCGUUGAGCCGAGGGGGUGGGGGGCACCGGUUCGGGGACGGGUCCCCCCCCCACCCCUCCGGCGGUCACCGUUUCGGCAGCCCCGGCCACGGGUGCCGCCGCCGCCCGCGCUGACCCCGGCCGUGGCGAUCAAAGCGGGAAGAAAAGGGUUUUAAUGAGUGGGGCCGGGGCGGCGUUCUCCCUUCCCGAUGUCCUCCUCCCCGCUGCGCCACGGCAAAUCCCACCCCGGCUCCUGCGCCAAGUCCCUGGGGGUGAUUUUGGGGGGUCAUGAUACGAAAACAGCCCUCUCCAAACGGUGUUCCCAUUGCCGGGGACGUGCUCCACGGUGCCACCGGGCUCAACGCCGGUUCUGCAGCGUGGCGAGGCCACCCCGUGUCCCCGCAUCCCACGGGGACGUUUCCACCCCAAACAGCAUCGCCGCCCUCGGUGUCCCCCGGGUGCCACCUCCCCGGGGCAGGGGACAGCGGGGCGGAGGGGACGGGUGCUUGGCGGUCCCUCCCUUGGGGUGGCUCCGUCCCUCCGGCACGGCAGCGGCGCACGAUCCCCGCGGCCCUUUCCAAUAAGUGGCAAAUGAUUCUUCGUCCUGUCGCUCCCCGGCGGCAAUAAACCUUAAUCACAAUGAAGUCAUUUGAUUUCCGCGUCCUGUAAUCGCGCGGCGAUUUGGCGUUAAUUAACGAGCGCUUACGGGAAGGGACGGCUGCGGGAGAGAGCGCUGCGCUUUUCC